GUCCACGCCGUAAACGAUGUCUACUAGCCGUUGGGGUCCUUGAGACUUUAGUGGCGCAGUUAACGCGAUAAGUAGACCGCCUGGGGAGUACGGCCGCAAGGUUAAAACUCAAAUGAAUUGACGGGGGCCCGCACAAGCGGUGGAGCAUGUGGUUUAAUUCGAUGCAACGCGAAGAACCUUACCUGGUCUUGACAUAGUGAGAAUCUCUCAGAGAUGAGAGAGUGCCUUCGGGAACUCACAUACAGGUGCUGCAUGGCUGUCGU
rnacentral:rRNA from 1 species